rnacentral:rRNA from 1 species
AGACCCGAAACCCGGUGAUCUAGCCAUGGGCAGGUUGAAGGUUGGGUAACACUAACUGGAGGACCGAACCGACUAAUGUUGAAAAAUUAGCGGAUGACCUGUGGCUGGGGGUGAAAGGCCAAUCAAACCGGGAGAUAGCUGGUUCUCCCCGAAAGCUAUUUAGGUAGCGCCUCGUGAAUUCAUCUCCGGGGGUAGAGCACUGUUUCGGCUAGGGGGCCAUCCCGGCUUACCAACCCGAUGCAAACUGCGAAUACCGGAGAAUGUUAUCACGGGAGACACACGGCGGGUGCUAACGUCCGUCGUGAAGAGGGAAACAACCCAGACCGCCAGCUAAGGUCCCAAAGUCAUGGUUAAGUGGGAAACGAUGUGGGAAGGCCCAGACAGCCAGGAUGUUGGCUUAGAAGCAGCCAUCAUUUAAAGAAAGCGUAAUAGCUCACUGGUCGAGUCGGCCUGCGCGGAAGAUGUAACGGGGCUAAACCAUGCACCGAAGCUGCGGCAGCGAACGUAUCACUUAAAGCGAUUCAGCGGGUUACGAUUGACGGAGCGAAGCGACGUCAAAGCGUAUACAAAGUCGAGUCGGUUUAAGGAUACGUUCGUUGGGUAGGGGAGCGUUCUGUAAGCCUGUGAAGGUGUGUCGUGAGGCAUGCUGGAGGUAUCAGAAG